rnacentral:rRNA from 1 species
GACGAACGCUGGCGGCGUGCUUAACACAUGCAAGUCGAACGGAAAGGCCCUGCUUUUGUGGGGUGCUCGAGUGGCGAACGGGUGAGUAACACGUGAGUACCCUGCCCCUGACUUUGGGAUAACUUCAGGAAACUGGGGCUAAUACCGGCUAGGAGCUCCUGCUGCUUGGUGGGGGUUGGAAAGUUUCGGCGGUUGGGGAUGGACUCGCGGCUUAUCAGCUUGUUGGUGGGGUAGUGGCUUACCAAGGCUUUGACGGGUAGCCGGCCUGCGAGGGUGACCGGCAACAUUGGGACUGGGAUACGGCCCAGACCCCUACGGGAGGGAGCAGUGGGGAAGAUUGCAAAAUGGGCGGAAGCCAGAGGCAGCAACGCCGCGUGCGGGAUAACGACCUUCGGGUUGUAAACCGCUUUCGCCUGUGACGGAGCGUAAGUGACGAUAAUGGGUAAAGAAGCACCGGCUAACUACGUG